rnacentral:rRNA from 1 species
UACGGGGGGAGCAAGCGUUGUUCGGAUUUACUGGGCGUAAAGGGCGCGUAGGCGGCCACCGCAAGUCGACUGUGAAAUCUCCGGGCUUAACCCGGAAAGGUCAGCCGAUACUGCGGGGCUAGAGUGCAGAAGGGGCAACUGGAAUUCUCGGUGUAGCGGUGAAAUGCGUAGAUAUCGAGAGGAACACCUGCGGCGAAGGCGGGUUGCUGGGCUGACACUGACGCUGAGGCGCGAAGGCGUGGGGAGCGAACGGG